ensembl:lncRNA
AAUCAUUGUAUUCUGUUAUACAAAUGUGGUCACAAGGGCUGCAGCUGAAAUACACGUCAAAGCAGUUCAAUCAAAGGGGUUUGGGAAACGGUGCCGUGAUAUAAAGGAUCCACACACACGAUAAGGGUUUCCUGCACUUUGAAAUGUCCCGCAGACGAGGAUGCAAAUUUGCGACCAUAUACCGCCCGAUCGUGUCCGCCAGCCGCCGCUUUGAAACACAUGUGGGAAAAGUCUGCGUGGCCGCACGCGACAUUCAAUUGUUAGAAUGUUGCCUCAACAUGGACGAAAGGCUAUAGGUGUAAUACACUGGGUUUUUCAUGUAGAGGGAUGUGUUGUGAUUUGUUCUAAUUAGUCACGUAAGCGUAAAUUGUUGAGUUCCGGAGCGGGAGAGUUGCGAGCAGGUGUAAUACACUGGGUUUUUCAUGUAGAGGGAUGUGUUGUGAUUUGUUCUAAUUAGUCACGUAAGCGUAAAUUGUUGAGUUCCGGAGCGGGAGAGUUGCGAG